rnacentral:rRNA from 3 species
GCAUAUCAAUAAGCGGAGGAAAAGAAACCAACCGGGAUUGCCUCAGUAACGGCGAGUGAAGCGGCAAGAGCUCAAAUUUGAAAGCUGGCCCCUUCGGGGUCCGCGUUGUAAUUUGCAGAGGAUGCUUCGGGUGCGGCCCCUGUCUAAGUGCCCUGGAACGGGCCGUCAGAGAGGGUGAGAAUCCCGUCUUGGGCAGGGUGCCCGUGCCCGUGUGAAGCUCCUUCGACGAGUCGAGUUGUUUGGGAAUGCAGCUCUAAAUGGGUGGUAAAUUUCAUCUAAAGCUAAAUACCGGCCGGAGACCGAUAGCGCACAAGUAGAGUGAUCGAAAGAUGAAAAGCACUUUGAAAAGAGAGUUAAACAGCACGUGAAAUUGUUGAAAGGGAAGCGCUUGCGACCAGACUCGGCCCCGGGGUUCAGCCAGCACUCGUGCUGGUGUACUUCCCCGGGGGCGGGCCAGCGUCGGUUUGGGCGGCCGGUCAAAGGCCCCAGGAAUGUAUCGCCCUCCGGGGUUGUCUUAUAGCCUGGGGUGCAAUGCGGCCAGCCCGGACCGAGGAACGCGCUUCGGCACGGACGCUGGCGUAAUGGUCGCAAACGACCCGUCUUGAAACACGGACC